rnacentral:rRNA from 1 species
GACGAACGCUGGCGGCGUGCUUAACACAUGCAAGUCGAACGGACAGGCCCUGCUUUUGUGGGGUGCUCGAGUGCCGAACGGGUGAGUAACACGUGAGUAACAUGCCCUUGACUUAGGGAUAACAUUACGAAACUGGGGCUAAUACCGGAUAGGAGCUCCUGCAGCAUGGUGGGGGUUGGUAAGUUUCGGCGUUUGGGGAUGGACUCGCGGCUUAUCAGCUUGUUGGUGGGGUAGUGGCUUACCAAGGCUUUGACGGGUAGCCGGCCUGAGAGGGUGACCGGCCACAUUGGGACUGAGAUAGGACCCAGACUCGUACGGGACGCAGAGGGGGGGAAUAUUACACAGUAGGCGGGAGCCUGAUGCGACAACGCCGCGUGCGGGAUGACGGCCUGCGCGUUGUGAACCGCUGUCGUCUGUGACGAGGAGAUAGUGACGGUAAUGGAUAAAGAAGCCCCGGCUAACUACGUG